rnacentral:tRNA from 1 species
GGCUCGUUCGUCUAUCGGUCGCAGGAUACGGCCCUUUCAAGGCCGAGAGAUGGGUUCGAUUCCCAUACGAGCUG